rnacentral:rRNA from 1 species
UGGGAUGGGGUCGCGUCCUAUCAGCUUGACGGCGGGGUAACGGCCCACCGUGGCUUCGACGGGUAGCCGGCCUGAGAGGGCGACCGGCCACAUUGGGACUGAGAUACGGCCCAGACUCCUACGGGAGGCAGCAGUGGGGAAUAUUGCACAAUGGGCGCAAGCCUGAUGCAGCGACGCCGCGUGAGGGAUGGAGGCCUUCGGGUUGUAAACCUCUUUUAUCGGGGAGCAAGCGAGAGUGAGUUUACCCGUUGAAUAAGCACCGGCUAACUACGUGCCAGCAGCCGCGGUAAUACGUAGGGUGCAAGCGUUAUCCGGAAUUAUUGGGCGUAAAGGGCUCGUAGGCGGUUCGUCGCGUCCGGUGUGAAAGUCCAUCGCUUAACGGUGGAUCCGCGCCGGGUACGGGCGGGCUUGAGUGCGGUAGGGGAGACUGGAAUUCCCGGUGUAACGGUGGAAUGUGUAGAUAUCGGGAAGAACACCAAUGGCGAAGGCAGGUCUCUGGGCCGUUACUGACGCUGAGGAGCGAAAGCGUGGGGAGCGAACAGGAUUAGAUACCCUGGUAGUCCACGCCGUAAACGGUGGAUGCUGGAUGUGGGGCCCGUUCCACGGGUUCCGUGUCGGAGCUAACGCGUUAAGCAUCCCGCCUGGGGGAGUACGGCCGCAAGGCUAAAACUCAAAAGAAAUUGACGGGGGCCCGCACAAGCGGCGGAGCAUGCGGAUUAAUUCGAUGCAACGCGAAGAACCUUACCUGGGCUUGACAUGUUCCCGACGGUCGUAGAGAUACGGCUUCCCUUCGGGGCGGGUUCACAGGUGGUGCAUGGUCGUCGUCAGCUCGUGUCGUGAGAUGUUGGGUUAAGUCCCGCAACGAGCGCAACCCUCGCCCCGUGUUGCCAGCGGAUUAUGCCGGGAACUCACGGGGGACCGCCGGGGUUAACUCGGAGGAAGGUGGGGAUGACGUCAGAUCAUCAUGCCCCUUACGUCCAGGGCUUCACGCAUGCUACAAUGGCCGGUACAACGGGAUGCGACGCGGCGACGCGGAGCGGAUCCCUGAAAACCGGUCUCAGUUCGGAUCGCAGUCUGCAACUCGACUGCGUGAAGGCGGAGUCGCUAGUAAUCGCGAAUCAGCAACGUCGCGGUGAAUGCGUUCCCGGGCCUUGUACACACCGCCCGUCAAGUCAUGAAAGUGGGCAGCACCCGAAGCCGGUGGCCUAACC